AUCAUGAGUUAGAUUCAUUUGCACACUUCUUUCAGAUUGUGUAUUAUCAUAGUUUUUUAUCUUUUCUUAAACAAUAAGUUUAAAUAUUGGAUAAUUUUGAGGCUUUUUAGUAGAGUUUUGAUCCAUGUAUGGAGAACAUGAUGCAACUUGUAUUGCAACUAACAAGAUCCAUAUUUUAUAAAAAGGCAAUCGAUUUGUAAUAUUAUAUGCUUCAUAAUUUUGACAACUUCCACUAAUAUUAAGUGGGAUGAUGUUGCAUUAAUUAGCUAAUUUUUCUAUAAAUUACAAUAUAAGAUAAAAAAAAUUGAUGCUCAACUUACUUAAUCUUCAAAAAUUGAGUCAAGUAAUUGACUUCAUUAUAAAGUGUGACAAUCGACUUUUUAAAUUUUGAUCUGAAAGUUAGACAAGUGAGCUUCAAUAUUACUAUAAUUCAAUAGAAAUACCAACACC
rnacentral:lncRNA from 1 species